CCUACGGGUGGCAGCAGUGGGGAAUAUUGGGCAAUGGACGCAAGUCGGACCCAGCAACGCCGCGGGAAGGAAGAAGGCUUGCGGGUUGUAAACGUCUGUUAAGGGGGAAGAGCAGAAGACGGUACCCCUGGAAUAAGCCACGGCUAACUACGUGCCAGCAGACGCGGUAAUACGUAGGUGGCAAGCGUUGUCCGGAUUUACUGGGUGUAAAGGGCGGGCAGCCGGCGAGACAAGUCAGAUGUGAAAUCCACGGGCUCAACCCGUGAACUGCAUUUGAAACGGUUUCCCUUUAGUGUCGGAGAGGUAAUCGUCAUUCCUUGUGUAGCGGUGAACUGCGUAGAUCUACGGA
rnacentral:rRNA from 1 species